rnacentral:rRNA from 1 species
AGAGACAGCAGCAGCCGCGGGAAUACGUAGGUCCCGAGCGUUGUCCGGAUUUAUUGGGCGUAAAGCGAGCGCAGGCGGUUAGAUAAGUCUGAAGUUAAAGGCUGUGGCUUAACCAUAGUACGCUUUGGAAACUGUUUAACUUGAGUGCAGAAGGGGAGAGUGGAAUUCCAUGUGUAGCGGUGAAAUGCGUUGAUAUAUGGAGGAACACCGGUGGCGGAAGCGGCUCUCUGGUCUGUAACUGACGCUGAGGCUCGGAAGCGUGGGGAGCAAACAGGAUUAGAGACCCGCGUAGUCCCUGUCUCUUAUACC